CUCCACUGUGUUACUUUAAGCGUCCCUCUGGGGUUAAAGGUCAACCUCAGUCCAGCUGUGUCUCCUACGCCAGCGGCGGCCAUGUUGUCUGUUUACUCUCUGCUCGCCGUGACUCAGCUCCGCCUGAGCUCUCGGUUUUCCCAGCCGUGUUUUUCUCCAGGUUUCCUCCUUCCGGUUCGGCUGCGGGUCACGUGGCCGGCCGCCUGACGGCUGGCGGCUCGUUUCGUCACGUCGGUCCGUCCCUGAUGGAAACACACAACACUGUGCAUAAGUCUUCAACCAGGCUCAGAUUUGUGCAAGAAGCAACAACAGUGGGGAAAAUGUUCUGGGUUGACUGAAACAGAAAAAGCUCCAGAGAUGAUGGAUGAAAAUGUCAGGAAACUAAACCCGGGAUGACUCGGGACUUUUGCACAGAUAUGAUGCAAGAUCAGCUCAGCUUCAUGAAACUCAUCAUCACUAAUGGAAAGUUUUACAGCAGCUGCAGUUCGUACUUUUACAUGCAUAUUUAUAUUUAAUUGGUUUAAAUUAAUUUAACUUUUACUCUUAUUUAUGUUAUAUUCAUAUUUCCAGAUAAAACAAUGUACAACAUUCAGUCAGAUAAUGUUCAUAAAACGAGUUAUUUUUGGAUGGUAAAACCUGAUUUUAUGUGUUUUAUUCAUGUUUUUCCAUCUAACUGGAUUAUGUUGGUUUAUUUAUUACAUAUUAAUGUAAUCCUCUGUUUUCAUUUUAUGCUUCACCGGUUUCUUGGUUGUUUUAAAGUUGUCCAUAGAUAUAUUCUGUAUUCAUAACUUUUAUUUUUAAAUUAACUCCUUAACCACUCUGUUCUAGGAAAAAAUAUUUGUUUUGUGUGUCAUUAUCAGUUUAGAGAAAUUGGCAACACUAUUGAUUCUGAUUUAUUCUUGUUUUUGUGAUAAAAGUUGUGAAAACAUGAUGUUGGAUUCUUUCAUGUUCAAACUGAUAGUUCAGGACUCAUGAAAUUUCAUCACAAUAAAUUAAUAAAUAACAAUGGAACUCAAACAGUUUAACAUAUUAAAUAAUGUGAGUAAAAUUGAAGUCAGUAGAACAAAAUUCAGUAAAAGGACAA